rnacentral:lncRNA from 1 species
GGCAAGGGCUUGUGGUAUUGUUGUUCUUGAUAAUGAUGCAGAUAAAUUUCUCCAGCAAAUUCUCUCUAUGGAGAGAGAUAGAGCUAGGCAAAACCAUCUAACCAUCUGGUGAAGCCUUCUCUUAUUGAUGAAGUUUUAUCUUGUCAUCUUUGCUUGCUUCUAUUCCAAGUUUUAUUGCUGGAUUUCUUUUCGUGAACUAUGUCAAUUCUAAUUCAGAAUGUCAAAGGUCUAAAUGAACCCCUUAAGAGG